rnacentral:lncRNA from 1 species
AGCUAUCAUUGUCUAUUCCUCUUAACCACAUUGUUGUUUUCUAGCUACACCAGAAUCCACUUCAGCUCCCAGUGACUUGUACAACUGGGAUGGAGCAGAUGUUCACAAUGUGACUGACCUUCCACAAAGCACAGUGUCAUACACAGUUUUUGACAGUGAACCAACUGAAGAUGAUCUGGUGAGCACUGGAGACACAGAAAGGGCAACAAGGACCACUUCCACGCCAGCUUUGCCUGAAACAUCACAUUCAAGUACAUCAUUGGUUGAUUCUAUCAUUCAGGCUACCAAACCCAGUGAGUCAUCCCCAGGCUGCCCUGUCAGACAACAAACAAUGAAAGAAAAUCAAGAUUGCUGCUAUUCCUCAUCUUCCUUGGAAAAUUUGUCCAAUGCAAUGGAAGGUCUUCGUGGAGAAGUGAUCUCUCUCUCCACAGCCAUUCAGCAACAGGGCUCUCAGCUGGAGGCUGUUUCCCAUAGUCUGGCUCAACUGGCAGCUUCUGUUCACCAUCUAGUAGGGGCACUGCCUGCUUUAACACAGCCAACCGCAGUUCGGUCUUCUUCGUUUCCCUCUAAGCAGGAUGAGGGACAGAUGCAAAACCAGCUGCCCUUGAAAUGAAAAGAACAGUUCCUAAAAAGCAAAGAAGGGACUCAGAAGAGACCAAACAGUUAUCUAAUCAUACCUCUGACAUCGGGUACACCUAAUCCCAAGGUUAACCUAUGCAACUCAGUUAAAUAUGCCAUAAUUAGAGACCUGCUGCACUGCAUUUAGAAGCUGGAAGAGAGCAACAUCUUCAUAAUGUGGGCUGUUCAUUAAUAUCAAUCUGUUUAAAUGCAGUGAACUAGAAAAAAGCGCAGAGAAGUCCUGCAGAUUCCACGAGAUCCAUUGCCUGAUAAUGUCAACCAGGAUUCAUUUUAGUUCUAAUCAAAACCCCCUCUUCACCUGGCUUGUUCUAAGUUGUGCAAGCUCAAAAGGAGUAAAAAACAUUUGCCUGAAAAGUUAAGAAGGCUGGAAAUCUAAAGACUGUUAGUUUUUUAAUAAGUGAGUGUCAAUUUGCACAUCAGAAAUACAGAAUCCACUAUAUUUGAAUAUACCAUUGCAUGAAGAGAAACUCCAAAUCAAAUGAUGUAACGACAAGAUGCACUUCUCUGUACUCCAAAGUCCAUGCGGUAUUGAAAGAUCUUUCAUUGCACAAACAAAACCAACUAUUUUUCUGCAUAUGUUUUGAUGUCACACGUGAUCGUCACUGCUGUGUACAAAUGUUUAGGCUUUUCAAAUAUAAAUAUGUAUUUAAAUACAAACACACACACACACAUGUAUGGAGAGAGAGAGAGACUAUGGAAGCACUGAGACCAACAGCUAAAACAAAAUAAAUACUACAGAGGAAAGACA